rnacentral:rRNA from 1 species
CCUACGGGUGGCUGCAGUGGGGAAUAUUGGACAAUGGGGGCAACCCUGAUCCAGCCAUGCCGCGUGUGUGAAGAAGGCCCUCGGGUUGUAAAGCACUUUCAGUGAGGAAGAACGCCUGGUGGUUAAUACCCAUCAGGAAAGACAUCACUCACAGAAGAAGCACCGGCUAACUCCGUGCCAGCAGCCGCGGUAAUACGGAGGGUGCGAGCGUUAAUCGGAAUUACUGGGCGUAAAGCGCGCGUAGGUGGCUUGAUAAGCCGGUUGUGAAAGCCCCGGCUCAACCUGGGAACGGCAUCCGGAACUGUCAAGCUAGAGUGCAGGAGAGGAAGGUAGAAUUCCCGGUGUAGCGGGGAAAUGCGUAGAGAUCGGGAGGAAUACCAGUGGCGAAGGCGGCCUUCUGGACUGACACUGACACUGAGGUGCGAAAGCGUGGGUAGCAAACAGGAUUAGAUACCCUAGUAGUC